rnacentral:lncRNA from 1 species
AUGAGACCGGGCUGGAGGGUGGGCGGAGAGCCGGGGCCUCAGCAGACCUGGGGGAUGCGGCGGCAGGGGACGGGCUUUGGUGGCCAUGGCUUUGGCGGCCAUGGGUUUGGUGGCCCGAGCCACCAGCGCCGGGAGCCCGCGCAGCCCGAGCCGAGGCUCCCCCGCCCCGCCGGACUCUGGGGGGGGGGGGGGGGGGGGGGGGGGGGGGGGGGGGGGGGGGGGGGGGGGGGGGGGGGGGGGGGGGGGGGGGCCGCCCCGCCGGACUCUGCGGCUCCUCUGGAGCCCCCGGGAUUGCGGGCGGCAGGAUCAGGGAGCGUGCGGUGGAGCCGGGGCGGCGGGAGAUGCCCGGAUCCGCAGUGCCAGGGCGGCUCCACCGUGCGCACCGGGACAGCCCCGGAGCAGCGAGCCCGGGCUCUCCCCCUGCUCCAUGCCAGCUCUGCAGUGCCGGCUGCGGGCCCCCCCGGCCCCCCGGCCCCGGCCGUACCUUCCUGCAGAGGCGGGCGGCGCGCUGCAGCCGCGGCUCGUCCUGCAGCAGAGCGCGGAGCUGCGCCGUGCUCAGCGCCCCGACCCGGCCCUGUGACACCCUGCACCCUCUGUGAGCACCCUGCACCCUCUGCGCUCAUCCUGCGCCCCCUGUGCACACCCUGCACCUGCUGUGCUCAUCCUGCACCCACUGUGCACACCCUGCGCCCCCUGUGCACACCCUGCACCUGCUGUGCUCAUCCUGCACCCACUGUGCACACCCUGCGCCCCCUGUGCACACCCUGCACCUGCUGUGCUCAUCCUGCACCCACUGCGCUCAUCCUGCGCCCCCUGUGCACACCCUGCACCUGCUGUGCUCAUCCUGCACCCUCUGUGACACCCUGCACCCUCUGUGAGCACCCUGCACCCUCUGUGCUCAUCCUGCACCCACUGUGCGCACCCUGCACCUGCUGUGCUCAUCCUGCACCCACUGUGCACACCCUGCGCCCCCUGUGCACACCCUGCACCUGCUGUGCUCAUUCUGCACCCUCUGUGACACCCUGCACACUCUGUGAGCAUCCUGCACCUGCUGUGCGCAUCCUGCGCCCCCUGUGCACACCCUGCACCCUCUGUGACUCCCCGCACCCUCUGUGCGCACCCUGCACCCUCUGUGAGCAUUCUGCACCCGCUGUGCUUACCCCGCACCCUCUGUGA